rnacentral:rRNA from 1 species
GACGAACGCUGGCGGCGUGCUUAACACAUGCAAGUCGAACGGUGAAAGCGGAGCUUGCUCCGCUGGAUCAGUGGCGAACGGGUGAGUAACACGUGGGCAACCUGCCCCAGACUUCGGGAUAACUCCUCGAAAGAGGUGCUAAUACCGGAUACGAAGCCCCCAGGCAUCUGGGGGUUUGGAAAGUUUUUCGGUCUGGGAUGGGCCCGCGGCCUAUCAGCUUGUUGGUGAGGUAACGGCUCACCAAGGCGACGACGGGUAGCCGGCCUGAGAGGGCGACCGGCCACACUGUGACUUAGACACGGCCCAGACUCCUACGGGAGGCAGCAGUGGGGAAUAUUGCGCAAGGGGCGAAAGCCUGACGCAGCAACGCCGCGUGAGGGAUGACGGCCUUCGGGUUGUAAACCUCUUUCAGCAGGGAAGAAGCGAAAGUGACGGUACCUGCAGAAGAAGCACCGGCUAACUACGUGCCAGCAGCCGCAGUAA